AACCGGUCGAAAACAAUCACGCAGCCGUGGGAGUCCAAAUUUAUUUUUCUGCACGAAUACAAAAUUUCUUCGAUCCAAGGUUUUUGAUAAAGAAUCUUAUAGGGGAGAAACAUUAUUCGAACCGGGAAUGGGAAGGAGCACCGAGCAAUGGAGGAGGGUUUUUUCUCCGAUUGCUUUCAUUCUAGUGAAACCCCAGUUCGAGUGUUUCCAAUCAGAGAGAGAGGGUUUUUUCAUAGAGCAGUUUCUCAUUUGCUCGAGAGACAAGAGUUUCAAGUAGAGAGAGAGAGAGCAACGGAGAUGGAGGGUUUUUUCUCCGAUUGCUUUCAUUCUAGGGAAAACCCAGUUAGAGUCAUCUUCGAGUGUUUCCAAUCAACUCAACUGAAUCGGUCACUCAAGGGACCGUGGCAACAUCAUUUUUUUUCUUCCGCAAUCUACAAAACACCACCAACCGGUGACCUUUGUUUCCUGCGACUAAUCGCGAAUCUUAGCUAUUAGUAGUACAAGUAAUAAAUCCAAAAGAGAUUUGUGUCAUCCAAGUGCCUAAACUGAUCCAUAUGACUUGAGCAAGGGUUUAUCACAGACCUGAGACCAAAUCAUUUCAAAAAAAAAAAGAUUUUCGAGCCGUAAAAGAUUGGUGUGGUUUGCAACUUACUUAGCGGUUCAGGAAAUAUUUUCUAAAAAUUAAUACUCGAAGUGAUCAAUCGUCCACCACCACACACCGUUUAGAGUUCUACUCUGAAAAGCCCCAAAUAAAUUUGGGAGUUCUAACCGAAACAACCUCUAGAAGCGAGGUUCAUUUAAGCACGAGGGAUUGAAGCGAGAAAUCCAAUCAUUGAUCUAACCAGGUGAUGUUCAAUCAUUUGCAAGGAUAUGCAUUGUUGGGAGAUAUCCGAACCAGGUGUCAUGUGUAAACUGCUGCUGCUAUCUACAGGCUCUAACCUUUGCAGUUCUAAGAAGAUAGGAACCUAAAUUUGAUGCUGUACAGGAUAAACCAAAGAAUUUGAGAACAGAUUUAUUAUGAGUGCAAAUAGAUAAGUUUCCCCCCUUUUACAUUUAUUUCUACUACUUUUACUCACAUGCAUGAGCAACUCAGAAUUAUUAACUUCAAUUACAUUUUGGUAUGACCAGAAUUUUUAGUUGACUGUCUUGUGUUUUGCAUUUGUCGUAAAUAAGAAGCUAGUUUUUCAAGUGUUCAAGGCUUUAAGGUUGUUUUAGAUACAAUAUUCUAGGAUUUGUUUCCCUGUAUCUUCAAGCCUUAAUUUGAGGAAUCAAAAGAUGAUUUACCCUUCUUUUAUAUUGUAUCAAAGCUCUCUUGAACUAAGUAUUUGUUCCCCAAAUUUUUAACCACUUUCAAGUGAAUUUAAUAGUAUUUAAAAUUAAAAUAAAUCACUUGAUAUCAAUGGUUGAAUCAUACUAACUGCUAAUGCUUUAAACCUGAAAAUUGAUGAAUAUAUAUUUGUUAAAGCAUUCUGUAAUAGCAAUGACAUGGCUGUCUUUUUGGAAUUAUUGAAAUUUGCAAAUAUCAAUCUUGGGAAGAAUUUUUAAAUCAUUUUGUCUUGUUUCCAUGCCCAGCUAGUUGUUUUGUUGAGUUUUUACUAUUAUUAUUUAUUUUUUGUAUUUCUUUUUGAUGCAGCCUGGUCAUUUUCAAGGCCAUACUUAUAAUAUAGUAUCUGCCUUUCAGCAAGCCAUCAUAUUUCAGUUCUACACACCCCUCCAUGGCCUUUUCAGUUGUACCACACUGUAUUUCUCAGUUCAUAUUAGAUGAUGUAGUGUAAACAGAUAUUCUGAUGAACAAAUGCAACUGACCUUUGGGUCUUUCCAAUGUGUAUGUUUGCUACUUUAAUCAUCCAUAUCAUCCAUCUACAUUUCAUCAAAGUUAAAGCUACAUUUUCUAGCUAUGCUUUUCAUUUUUUGUGUGGUCUGAAAUUCAUGCCCUGGAGCAGGUGCCUGUGGCGUGGCAUGUAUAUAGCAAAUACCAUGGCUUCUGUGCUGGAAUAGACAGCAGUAUCAUAAGUACUUUGCUUAUAGCAUGAAAAAGAAAAAGAGAGCUGGGAAACUACCAUCCAAGAGAGUAUGUAUUGACUUGGCGAUUGUGGGAAGGGAAAGACAAGACCUUCUACAGUUUUAUGAAGGGUUUGCAUCUGGACAACAUUCUUGUUGUUUUCUCUGCAUUGCCAUCACUAAAUUUGGAAGGAUUGCAUGGGGCGUUUUGACAUGUUAAUAUUAUAGUUGUUCUUUUAAUCCAAGAGGCCAUCAAGGAUCGCAUUAUAUUUUGCAUAGGUUUAACAUUAUGUCAAGUGGAUUUGCAUUGGAAGAUGUGCUACAUUAUAUGACAUUGAAUGUUUUUGAAGCCCUUGUGUUUUUCUAUAUGUCAAUUGGAUAUUGUAUUUAUUCAUCAAAAAAAUUUGGAUAUUGUAU